rnacentral:lncRNA from 1 species
UAAUGACAUCAAUUUUUAUACAAAAUAUGAAGUAUGAUUUAGAACUAUGCUUUUGAAUUACAGGUCUGGUGCAAAAUUUCCACAUGGUUCAGAAUACUACUAGAUGUGAAUACUAAAGCCUUAAGUUAUCACACUAUUGGAUAAUAUUUAUGAGACUACCUAAAGUUUGUGAGAAGACAGCAAGUUGUGUCAAAUGUGGGAUUCCUAUCAAUUUUUAUCUAGCUACGGUGACUUGCUUUGAUCCAGCUGCAAAUGCUCAUAUUGUUAAAAAGGAACCCACAGACCCAAAAUGGCAUCACGUAGCCAAGUCAUCAAAUUGAGGCGUAAGACCUAAUCUAAUUGCAGUUUCAACCCUCCUGAGAAAUUUAAGUCUUAGCCAGUCAUUUGGGAAUUUUCUGAUCAAACAAUAAGGUAAUCUGUCACAUGAACCCUUCUCUACCCCCUCUAUAAAGGAAGAUAAAACCUCCUACUCUUCCUGCUAAGGGAAAAUCAUCUGACCUGAAAAAAAUCCUUUUCUUUCGCUAAUAACUCCCUUGCACCACCUUCCUUCCUAUAAAAACCUUAUAUUUUGUAUAACUCCUUGGUGUUCCCCUUUACUUGCUAUAUGAAAUGCUCUCCAUUUCAUGAGUCAUUUAAUAAAGCUAGUUAGAUUUUCA